CACACCACCACUUCCCAAUUACAAUGGACGCUGGGGAAGGCGAGCACACAUAUGUAACACAGCAGAAACGGACCAUGGACAGAAUCAUCUGGCAUCAGAAUUACCACGGUCACAGAACAUAAUGACGGUCUGAAAACAGGCUAAACGCUGGAAAAAAUAAUUUUAUUAAGUAAUGACAUAUGGCCAAGGAAGAGAACACGGCAGCCGGGAAAACUUCAGCUUUUCAAGGUUUCUUCAUAACAACUUAAUCAGUGCAUACUCAGGUGAAAAUGACUCUUUUCCACUAGCACACUGGAGUGCCUGCUUUGUUUUGCCAGCCAGGAAGAUGCUGAAUCAACCACAGUCCAGCUUUCUUCACAAUCCGUCCUUCUCCGUGCGGUUAUUGUUGUU